GCCCGCUUGGCUUAGUGGUAAAGCGCAUCACUAGUACCACAUCUAGUGUGAUGAUGAGAUCACUGGUUCGAUUCCAGUAGUGGGCA